CAGCAGCCACGGGAAUACAGAGGGUGCGAGCGUUAAUCGGAUUUACUGGGCGUAAAGCGUGCGUAGGCGGCUUCUUAAGUCGGAUGUGAAAUCCCUGAGCUUAACUUAGGAAUUGCAUUCGAUACUGGGAAGCUAGAGUAUGGGAGAGUAUGGUAGAAUUCCAGGUGUAGCGGUGAAAUGCGUAGAGAUCUGGAGGAAUACCGAUGGCGAAGGCAGCCAUCUGGCCUAAUACUGACGCUGAGGUACGAAAGCAUGGGGAGCAAACAGGAUUAGAUACCCCCGUAGUCCCUGUCUCUUAUAC
rnacentral:rRNA from 1 species